rnacentral:lncRNA from 10 species
CUUGAUGGUAUAGCCGUUAAACAUUGGAACCCAGAACACAGAAUGCCCAGCAUGAAUCCUGCUGCCUCAGUUUCUUAAACUAUAAAUCAGCAAACCCAUUUCAUAAGAUUUUGGUAUUAGGUGUGAAAACGCACAGUGUCUGAUAGAGGAGGCGCUGAGUGGGCAUUAGCUCUAAUUGUUACAUUACUUGCCUGUGUCAUCAGAUCUGCUGAUAAGCACACUUUUGGUAUCUUUCCAAGUAAUGAGAAAAUUGUUGACCAAAUCAGAGCAAAGGACACUACUCCCUCUUGGUUGACGAAAACACACGUAUCAGCAGCCUUCUGUUAUGCUGUUUGGCUGUUUUCAAGCUCAACAGUGACAAAAGGGCCAGUAGCCCUGGGUGUAAUUCCUGACUCCAGCAUGUACAUGCCGUGGGGCUGUGGGACUGACCAUGUAAAGAGGUUGCCUGAUAGAAGCAGCAAUGAAAGGGUUGUUUCUUCUAAAGUCCAGCAUGCAAUGAUUUAGUCAAUUCAAAAAGAAUGGGACACUGGCUAUAUUUCCUCCAUUCGCCUUGACAACUAACAGCAAUGAUGGUGGAUUAAUCAACAGUGUCCUCUAAGCAGUGCUCCCACAGCACACAUAAAUAUGAAGUCUACAUAAGUCUUUCAGGAUGCAGAAGAGUCACAAGGAAUGAACUGGAUAUCUGUUGUGAGAAGGAGAAUGUUACCUGUGUCUUGCAGAAGCCAAACUCUUACCAAGCAGAAAAACCAGAAUCCCUCAGAUGGAAUUUCAUUAUUGGAUCACAUUUUAAAGUCCUAAAAUACCAUUUAUGGGUAAUAAAUGUGAAUUCAAUGCUAUAUUUUGAACUGAAUGCUCUUUUGAAUUAAAACACAAGGUAGGCUCUAAACAACAGGCACAGCAAAGGACUCUUGGAUGGUGACAUGGAUAAAUGCAUGAAAAGACAUGUUUUCCUAUCAAGGAGUUUCUAUUAUUAAAUUUGACCUAUCUAAAUUUUCUUCCAAAUCAUGUUUACAAAUCUU